GUGCACCAGGCGCGAAACCUCCGCAAUGCGGGAAACCGCGACGGGGGGACCCCGAGUGCCGUGGCAACGCCACGGCUUUUCCGGAGUGUAAAAAGCUCCGGGAAUAAGGGCUGGGCAAGGCCGGUGGCAGCCGCCGCGGUAAUACCGGCGGCCCGAGUGGUGGCCGCUAUUAUUGGGCCUAAAGCGUCCGUAGCCGGGCCCGUAAGUCCCUGGCGAAAUCCCACGGCUCAACCGUGGGGCUUGCUGGGGAUACUGCGGGUCUUGGGACCGGGAGAGGCGGGGGGUACCCCUGGGGUAGGGGUGAAAGUCCUAUAAUCCCAGGGGGACCGCCAGUGGCGAAGGCGCCCCGCUGGAACGGGUCCGACGGUGAGGGACGAAGGCCAGGGGAGCAAACCGGAUUAGAUACCCCCGUAGU
rnacentral:rRNA from 1 species